CCUACGGGCGGCAGCAGUGGGGAAUAUUGGGCAAUGGAGGCAACUCUGACCCAGCAACGCAGCGUGAAGGAUGAAGGCCUUCGGAUUGUAAAGUUCUUUUUAUAGGGAAGUAAGAGAAAUUUGAUGGUAUCUGAAGUAUAUGCCCUGGCUAACUACGUGCUAGCAGCCGCGGUAAUACGUGGGGAGCGGGCGUUAUCCGUGAUUAUUGGGCGUAAAGGGUGGGUAGAUGGCAUAGUAAGGCUUUUGGAAAAAUGCUGGGCUCAACGCAGUAGGGCAAAAGAUACUGCAAAGCUAGAGUGUGACAGAGGCAGGUGGAACUACAUGUGUAGCGGUGAAAUGCGUAGAUAUAAGUAAGAACUCCGAUGGCGAAGGCAGCUUACUGGAUCGAAACUGACAUUGAGGCACGAAAGCGUGGGGAGCAAACAGGAUUAGAUACCCGAGUAGUC
rnacentral:rRNA from 1 species